rnacentral:lncRNA from 1 species
GCAAAGUUCACUUUGCACACAGCCUCUCUCUAGACAUUUCUUUGCUGCAAAUUGCAUUGUGUACAACCAAUGCAUUUAGACCAAAACCUAAUAUUUAAAACAGAAGAAUCAGUUUUAGUCCUCUUUCAAGAGCAAGCAGGACAAGGAGGCGCAGCAGAGAAAAAUGCUGAGUCACCCUGUCCCACACUGUGUGUAGGGAGCCCUGAGCCUGCUCCGUGUGAGCACUACCACCAUCUUCAUCCUGCAGCAAUGCAGCUGCAGAUUAGACUCUGCAAGCUGUGGGCAGUCUUCACUUCUCAGCUUUGUGGGCCCAUGCAAAUGAUUUAGCUGACAGCUCACCCAGAGCCAGGAGUCUUCAGCUGAAGGCAAGAGAGGAGCAGGUCAUCCAGACCCACAUGCUCACUGUCAGCAUCAGAGCAUAAGGAACAAUACAACCCAAUAUGGCAGAGAUGCCCACUGCAGCCAGGCAAUUCACCAAGGAUAGGACAUGACAUCCCUGAUGGAGAUUGUAUCCACUUCUCAGAGUUCCAAGUUUUCCAGUGACGUUUUUCAAUGUACUUCAAGAAUCAGCAAGGGACUCUAUGUACCAAGACCUCCCCUUAGAGGAGUGGCCAUACAGCAGAGAGAAGCGAAAACGGGAGCUGCUUGUGUGCUCGAAAGACACAAAAUCCUAUUUGCCAAAAUCUGUGUGCAAAGGAGGGAAACAGUUACAAUUUCAAAAGUUUUAAAAGAAUUUGAGAAUACAGAUGAGAAAGGGGAUUAAACACAUUUUCAGUAUGACUCUCUGCUAAAAGAAUGAACCAAAAAGCAAUACCUUUCUGUUUAUGGCAACCUGUGUGAAAAGCAAUUUCAACACUAAUAAAAACUGAUUUUUCACCUCCA